rnacentral:rRNA from 1 species
GAUGAACGCUGGCGGCGUGCCUAAUACAUGCAAGUCGAGCGAACGGACGAGAAGCUUGCUUCUCUGAUGUUAGCGGCGGACGGGUGAGUAACACGUGGAUAACCUACCUAUAAGACUGGGAUAACUUCGGGAAACCGGAGCUAAUACCGGAUAAUAUUUUGAACCGCAUGGUUCAAAAGUGAAAGACGGUCUUGCUGUCACUUAUAGAUGGAUCCGCGCUGCAUUAGCUAGUUGGUAAGGUAACGGCUUACCAAGGCAACGAUGCAUAGCCGACCUGAGAGAGUGAUCGGCCACCCUGGAACGGAGACACGGUCCAGACUCCUACGGGAGGCAGCAGUAGGGAAUCUUCCGCAAUGGUCGAAAGCCUGACGGAGCAACGCCGCGUGAGUGAUGACGGUCUUCGGAUCGUAAAACUCUGUUAUUAGGGAAGAACAUAUGUGUAAGUAACUGUGCACAUCUUGACGGUACCUAAUCAGAAAGCCACGGCUAACUACGUG